rnacentral:lncRNA from 1 species
UUUUAUCUUCUUAUUAUAUUCAAAUAAUUAUAAUUUCAUUUUAAAUAAAGGUUUUAGAUGCCUAAACUUAUUUUUAAUUAUAAAUUAUGCGAUUGGUACUUGUUUGCUACAUUUUUAACUGGUUUCAAAGUUUUCAGUGGAAAAUGACCAAAAUACCCCUAUGAGGCAAAAAUUUUUAUUUUAUCAGUUUUAAGUUGGAAAUAGCUCAAAAUCCUUUAGAGCAUAAAAUUUGGCAACGGUUACUCACCGGGGGAAAUGAGAAACUGAUAUUAAGCCUUGCGAGGUUCCGGUUGGCAUUUCGGGAAAUGAGUGCCCAUCAGAGCACCGCGGGGGUUGUCACGGGUUCGAGGGGAGUUCUGGGUUGUGACAAAUGGAGUGAUAAAGAAGACUUUCAACAACCAAAACUUCCUAUCACCAUGGGCAUUCUCUAGAGAUUAGAGGAAUCUACACAAGUUGCUGGUAGUUCUUCCCAAGUCGUUUUCCCACCUCCACAGGCAGUGCCCACACAUAGUGUUGCUCAAUGGAUGGAGUGCCUCGAUCGUUGUUUAGAUCGUUAGGAAAGGCAGAAUCGAGCAAUUGAACAGAUGAUGUGAGCCUAUGCUACACACGUUGGGAUGGAUAUGUCUACGUUUCCUUCGUUACCUACGGAAUAUGACUCUGAAGAUGAUUUUAGUGGUGCUGAUGCGGCGGACUUGUAGAGUACUGAUUCUGAGUGAGGGGAGUAUUCUUGUCCCUUGUCUUUUAUUUUUGUUAUCACAUUGAGGGCAAUGUCCAUUUCCAGUUUAGGGGAGUAGUUUAGACUUUUGUUAGUUUAUUUUUUGUUGCUUGAUUUUAUUUGCAUGUUUUGUUGUGUUUUUGAAAAAGAAAAUAAAAAUAAUAAUAAAAAUAAUAAUAUUUUGAGAUAGUUGUACCUUAUUCAUGAUUGUCCCAAUCCUAGGAUGAUAUUUUAAUUAUUUUUUGAUUCUUAGCUUUUGGGAAGCAUAUAGUUAUGAUUUAUUUUCAUAUGAUAUUUUUGUGUUAACUUUAUUUUAGAAUAUGACUUUCAAUAAUUUGAGCACUACACUCUUUUACUUAGAAUCUUUUGUGUGAUUUAGAGAAAGUUUAUGUUGAAUAGAAAGUAUAGUGAAGUCAAGAAUUCUAGAAUUUGUUUGAUUCUCUCUCGAGGUGAAAUCUUAGAUAACACUUAGGAUAAGAAGUGAUUUAGGCCAUCUUUGGAUCGUUUGAGCCUUUUUGAGCCUACCUUGUUAUAUUUAACCUUAGCCACCCUUUCUGAGCCUAAUUUACCUUUUCUUUGUAAUUACACAGUUAUAUGAGCCUUGGCCUGUUUAUUUAAUUUCAGCAAUUUGAACCUUUCACCCUUUAAGUAUUUUAAUCUUUCUUAGGAAUGAUUUGAGCUUAAGAAUAAAGUGAGGGAGAAGAUGCAAAAAAAAAUGAUGGUUGUUAGCAAAAUUACCCCUAGUUUAUAAUUGUCAAAAAUAAGUUUGGGGGUUGAAGAAAAAAAAGGAGAAAAGAAAAGAACAAAUUCUGUGGUACAAAGGAAAGUUUACUUCAAGUUUGGGGGUGGUUUAAAAAAAAAAUUUGAGCUCUUUAUAUGAUCUAGAUUGAUUAAGUGCUUAGGGUGAAGUUGAGCUUAAAUAUAUGCUUUAUCAUACCUUGACCCUAGCCUUACAUUACAAGCUUGAUAAAGAUCUAUUAAUCCUUAAAUAAGUGUUCAUCUACAUUAGUGGAGAGAGAGAUGAAAAGCAAACUUAUGGAAUCUUAGUACUAAUCUAUGCUUAGAUUUGGCAUAAAUUGAUUUGAAUUGCAUGAUAUUCUUUGUAAGAGAGCAUUCACACACACACGGAAGUCCAUUCGAAAAAUAAGUUUUCACUUGAAUUGAUGCAUGAAUUUAAGGAUUAGCUGUAUGAAUUUAAGGAUUAGCUGUAUGUUACCUUAAGUUAGAAUUGGAGUUAAUUUCUGAGGAAAAAUUGGGAAAUCAUGAUUUGGUAUUUCUAUCUCUUGUUCAAGCAUUUUUUUAUGUUCAGUUUUCUUUUGUGAUUUUCUUUUGCUUGAGGACUAGCAAAAUCUUAAGUUUGGGGGUGUGAUAAUUCUAUUAUAUAGAGUUAUUUUACUUUAAUUUUAUGUUUUUCUUGUUAAUUUGGUUAUUAUUUAUUGGUUUUUAUUUCUUUUGUAGGAUUAAAGGUGAUUGGGCUUAAUUUUUGGAAAGUAAGGUGUAGACAGACCCAAAAAUCUGUUUGCAUAUACUUUGGUAUUUUGGCCAUAUCUCGAGCUACAGAACUCCAAAUGAUGUGAUUCUUGGACCAGUUGAAAGUUAAGAGACAGAGCUACAACUUUUAUGAGAUUAAUUUGCGCAUUUCUGCUUUGAAGAUAGAAAAAAUAGUAUUGGAUAAUGGCUAGACGUACUGUACCAAGAAUGAAAAUUUGUAAAGACUGAUAAUUAAUUUUUGGGCCUUCAUUACACUUUUAAGCCCAAUUAAAUCCUAGGUCAGCUGAAGGAACUUUAGGUUAAGUCUAUUAGUAUAAAUAGGAUAUGUUUAAUAACAUUAGGGGCAGAACUUUUGAGAGAUUCAAGAAAGUAGAAGUUGAGGCUAAAACUUGGAGAUCAAGUCAGCAAUAAUUGUUUUGUGUUCUUCCUUAGCUUUUAAUUUUCUUGUUACUUUCAAUGGUUAAAUUUAUUAUAAUGUUAUUUGUUUUUAUAAUUAUGCGUGGCUAAAUUUUCUUUUUCUAGGAUUGCAAUUGAACUCACAUGUAGGC